GUGCUCACUUCGGCAGCACAUAUACUAAAAAUUGGGACGAUAACAGAGAAGAUUAGCAUGGCCCUGGGCAAGGAAGACGUGCAGUUUCAUGAAGCGUUCCAUAUUUUU
rnacentral:snRNA from 1 species